rnacentral:rRNA from 1 species
AACGAACGUUGGCGGCGUGGAUUAGGCAUGCAAGUCGAACGAGAAGGGUUUCGCAAGAGACCUUGUAAAGUGGCGGAAGGGCGAGUAAUGCAUAGAUAACCUACCCCUAAAUAGGGGAGUAACCUCUCGAAAGGGAGACUAAUACCCAAUAAGACCACGAGUCGCAUGACCUGUGCUCAAAGAUGGGGACCCGCAAGGGCCUUUCGUUUAGGGAGGGGUUUAGUGUCCUAUCAGCUAGUUGGUGAGGUAACGGCNCACCAAGGCGAUGACGGGUAGCCGACCUGAGAGGGUGACCGGCCGCACUGGGACUGAGACACUGCCCAGACUCCUACGGGAGGCUGCAGUCGAGGAUCUUCCGC